rnacentral:ncRNA from 1 species
UAAAACCCGAAGAACGUGAGGAAUAGCGUGAGUUAACCGUUCAGAGAGAGAGGCCAUCAGCUGGGAGGUCUUUUCGGAAAGACGCUAAGGUCGCACAGGAGGGGCAGAGGGGAACAAAGUACUCUCUGACGGAAAAACCCGUUAGCGAAUGACAAGUGCUGGGAAACGCAAUAGUUCUCAGAAUAAAGGUGGUACCACGGAAGCUUUUCGUCCUUUAC